rnacentral:rRNA from 1 species
AGGAACCUGCCUCAAAGAGGGGGACAACAGUUGGAAACGACUGCUAAUACCGCAUAAGCCCACGGCUCGGCAUCGAGCAGGGGGAAAAGGAGCAAUCCGCUUUGAGAUGGCCUCGCGUCCGAUUAGCUAGUUGGUGAGGUAACGGCCCACCAAGGCGACGAUCGGUAGCCGGACUGAGAGGUUGAACGGCCACAUUGGGACUGAGACACGGCCCAGACUCCUACGGGAGGCAGCAGUGGGGAAUAUUGCACAAUGGGGGAAACCCUGAUGUAGCGACGCCGCGUGGAGGAAGAAGGUCUUCGGAUUGUAAACUCCUGUUGUUGGGGAAGAUAAUGACGGUACCCAACAAGGAAGUGACGGCUAACUACGUGCCAGCAGCCGCGGUAAAACGUAGGUCACAAGCGUUGUCCGGAAUUACUGGGUGUAAAGGGAGCGCAGGCGGGAAGACAAGUUGGAAGUGAAAUCUAUGGGCUCAACCCAUAAACUGCUUUCAAAACUGUUUUUCUUGAGUAGUGCAGAGGUAGGCGGAAUUCCCGGUGUAGCGGUGGAAUGCGUAGAUAUCGGGAGGAACACCAGUGGCGAAGGCGGCCUACUGGGCACCAACUGACGCUGAGGCUCGAAAGUGUGGGUAGCAAACAGGAUUAGAUACCCUGGUAGUCCACACCGUAAACGAUGAUUACUAGGUGU